rnacentral:rRNA from 1 species
AGCGAACGCUGGCGGCAGGCUUAACACAUGCAAGUCGAGCGCCGUAGCAAUACGGAGCGGCAGACGGGUGAGUAACGCGUGGGAACGUACCUUUUGGUUCGGAACAACACAGGGAAACUUGUGCUAAUACCGAAUAAGCCCUUACGGGGAAAGAUUUAUCGCCGAAAGAUCGGCCCGCGUCUGAUUAGCUUGUUGGUGAGGUAACGGCUCACCAAGGCACGAUCAGUAGCUGGUCUGAGAGGAUGAUCAGCCACAUUGGGACUGAGACACGGCCCAAACUCCUACGGGAGGCAGCAGUGGGAAUAUUGGACAAUGGGCGCAAGCCUGAUCCAGCCAUGCCGCGUGAGUGAUGAAGGCCCUAGGGUUGUAAAGCUCUUUUUGUGCGGGAAGAUAAUGACGGUACCGCAAGAAUAAGCCCCGGCUAACUUCGUGCCAGCAG